GCUUAACACAUGUAAGUCGAGCGAGAAUCGUUUUGCUGAAGGCUUCGGUCUGACGCAGAAUGAGGAAAGCGGCGAACGGGUGAGUAACGCGUGGGCAACGUGGCCUUAAGAAAAGGAUAGCCCCCGGAAACGGGGAGUAAUACUGUAUGAGAAUGAAAGAGGGCAUCCUACUUUCAUUCAAAGCGCAAGCGCUUAAGGAUGGGCCCGCGUAUCAUUAGCUAGUUGGUGAGAUAACAGCCCACCAAGGCAACGAUGAUUAGCCGGUCUGAGAGGGCGAACGGCCACAUUGGAACUGAGAGACGGUCCAAACUCCUACGGGAGGCAGCAGUGGGGAAUAUUGCGCAAUGGAGAAGAACUCUGACGCAGCAAUACCGCGUGAGCGAAGAAGGUCUUCGGAUCGUAAAGCUCUGUUAUCAGGGAAGAAGAAAAUGACGGUACCUGAUGAGCAAGUCCCGGCUAACUACGUGCCAGCAGCCGCGGUAAAAC
rnacentral:rRNA from 1 species